rnacentral:rRNA from 1 species
GUAAUGAGGGAAGCUCGCAAGAGCAAGGAUACAGGUGGUGCAUGGUUGUCGUCAGCUCGUGUCGUGAGAUGUUGGGUUAAGUCCCGCAACGAGCGCAACCCUUGUUGUUAAUUGCUAACAGGUUAAGCUGAGCACUUUAGCGAGACAGCCUAGGUUAACUAGGAGGAAGGUGGGGAUGACGUCAAAUCAUCAUGCCCCUUACGUUUAGGGCUACACACGUGCUACAAUGGUGAGAACAGAGAGAAGCAAGCUAGUGAUAGUGAGCAAAACUUAUAAAACUCAUCUCAGUUCGGAUUGCAGGCUGAAACUCGCCUGUAUGAAGAUGGAGUUGCUAGUAAUCGCGAAUCAGAAUGUCGCGGUGAAUACGUUCCCGGGUCUUGUACACACCGCCCGUCACACCAUGAGAGUUGGCAACACCCGAAACCUGUGGGCUAACCAUAUAGGAGGCAGCAGUCUAAGGUGGGGUCAGUGAUUGGGGUGAAGUCGUAACAAGGUAGCCGUAGGAGAACCUGCGGCUGGAUCA